AUUGAACGCUGGCGGCAGGCCUAACACAUGCAAGUCGCACGAGUGGCGGACGGGUGAGUAAUGUCUGGGAAACUGCCCGAUGGCGGGGGAUAACUACUGGAAACGGUAGCUCAUACCGCAUACCAUCGGAUGUGCCCAGAUGGGAUUAGCUAGUAGGUGGGGUAACGGCUCACCUAGGCGACGAGCCCUAGCUGGUCUGAGAGGAUGACCAGCCACACUGGAACGUAGACACAGUCCAGACUCCUACGGUAGGGAGCAGGGGGGAAUAUUGCACAAUGGGCGCAAGCCUGAUGCAGCCAUGCCGCGUGUAUGAAGAAGGCCUUCGGGUUGUAAAGUACUUUCAGCGAGGAGGCGUUACUCGCAGAAGAAGCACCGGCUAACUCCGUGCCAGGCGCGGCGGUAAGUC
rnacentral:rRNA from 1 species